rnacentral:lncRNA from 1 species
GCCAAGAUGGCGACGAGUCAGUAUUUCGACUUCGCGCAGGGCGGCGGCCCGCAGUACAGGUGCAGUGACUCCUGCCUGUAAUCCAGCACUUUGGAAGGCCGAGGUGGACGGAUCACUUGAGCACCCUCCUGGAGGACGGGACUUUGGUCUGGUUAUUCCCCGCUGCUGUGACAGCGCCCAUGACAGCAGCUGGUCCCCACUAGCACCCAGGAAGUAUUUAUCCAAUGACUCAAUGAAUCUGCCGCCGGAUCGCCCGGGACUGCUUUCACUUUCUGUCAGUCCAGAAGUGGAGACCACUCCCCCGGCCCUUGCAUCUGGGCUUCCUUGUGCCCUGCCUUGGACAGUUGGCUGCAGUGGAAGUGACGCUGUGACUGCCCUGUGCCCAAGCUUAAGAGGCCUUGCCUGCAUCUGCUCCAUCUUAUGGGACCCUGCCUGGUGAAGGACCCAAGGCUGGCCUGCUGGAGGAGGAGAUAUAAGGAGAAGAGUCACAGUGCCCCAUCCAACAGGUAGCUGCCCUCCAGGGGCAGAGAAG